AGUGAACGCUGGCGGUAGGCCUAACACAGGCAAGUCGAACGGCAGCACAGGAAGAGCGGGCGCGGACGGGGGGCGAGGGGCGGACGGGGGAGGAAGACAGCGGAAGCGACGGGGGCGGGGGGGAGAACGGAGGGAAACGUACGCUAAUACCGCAAACGACCUACGGGUGAAAGCAGGGGAUCUUCGGACCUUGCGCGAUUGAAUGAGCCGAUGUCGGAUUAGCUAGUUGGCGGGGUAAAGGCCCACCAAGGCGACGAUCCGUAGCUGGUCUGAGAGGAUGGUCCGCCGCCCUGGACAUGCGCCCCGGUCCCGCCUCCUACGGGCGGCCGCAGUGGGGAAUAUUGGACAAUGGGCGCAAGCCUGAUCCAGCCAUACCGCGUGGGUGAAGAAGGCCUUCGGGUUGUCACGCCCUUUUGUUGGGAACGAAAAGCAGCAGGUUAAUACCCCGCUGUUCUGACGGUACCCAAAGAAUAAGCACCGGCGAACUUCGU
rnacentral:rRNA from 1 species